CCAUAUAACAAGAAUCGUAUCUCUACUACCAAACCAUACCCCUGCCGGCGGUACAUUGCGUUAAGGAUUUACCUUCUUUGGGGGACGUAAAACUCGCAGAAAAAAAAAGGAAAACAAGAAAAUCGUAACAAAACAAAACUCAAAGAAACGAAUAAGUGUGCAGAAUAAAAGUGAGACAACAUAUACACAUGUGAGUGUGUGCGUGUGGUGUGUGUUUUUGUUAAGUUUGCAGCGUUAAUGGAAAAAGUUUUACAGCGGCCCAACUGACAUUUUGAAUGAUUCGGAAUUAAAAGUUUUUGGCAAAUUCAAAUGUGAUUGCGUGUGUGUUCAUCUGAGCCGCAAAGACAGCACUUCCUGCCAACACCACCACCCCUUGGAUUGCAAUUGCUAACCAAUAUUAUUGUUGUCUCGCCAUCGCUUUCCCGCCAACUAACCUCUAACAUGGAAUAUACAUUUAGAUUUAAAUUAAUUAAAUCAAUUGCUUUAAAUAGUUUAUUUUAAUGCUUUUAUUUUAUUAUUAUUUAACAAUUAUUUGCAUAUAAUAAAGCUAAAAAUUCAUAAUUUUCGCAUUAACCAGCGGCUAUGUUCACGAUAAAAACAAGACUAUAUAGUUAUGUAAUAAUGAUUAGUACAUAAUGGGCUUUGGCAGUAGUUAGUAGAAUUUUGUGGCU